UACGAAGGGGCUAGCGUUGCUCGGAAUCACUGGGCGUAAAGGGUGCGUAGGCGGUCUUUAAGUCAGGGUGAAAUCCUGGAGCUCAACUCCAGAACUGCCUUUGAUACUGAGGAUCUUGAGUUCGGGAGAGGUGAGUGGAACUGCGAGUGUAGAGGUGAAAUUCGUAGAUAUUCGCAAGAACACCAGUGGCGAAGGCGGCUCACUGGCCCGAUACUGACGCUGAGGCACGAAAGCGUGGGGAGCGAACGAGGAUGAUAA
rnacentral:rRNA from 1 species